CGAGUCCUACGGGGGGCAGCAGUGGGGAAUAUUGCACAAUGGGGGAAACCCUGAUGCAGCGACGCCGCGUGAGUGAAGAAGUAUCUCGGUACGUAAAGCUCUAUCAGCAGGAAAGAAAAUGACGGUACCUGACUAAGAAGCCCCGGCUAACUACGUGCCAGCAGCCGCGGUAAUACGUAGGGGGCAAGCGUUAUCCGGAUUUACUGGGUGUAAAGGGAGCGUAGACGGCGAAGCAAGUCUGAAGUGAAAACCCAGGGCUCAACCCUGGGACUGCUUUGGAAACUGUUUUGCUAGAGUGUCGGAGG
rnacentral:rRNA from 1 species